GAUGAACGCUGGCGGCGUGCCUAAUACAUGCAAGUCGAGCGAACAGACGAGGAGCUUGCUCCUCUGACGUUAGCGGCGGACGGGUGAGUAACACGUGGAUAACCUACCUAUAAGACUGGGAUAACUUCGGGAAACCGGAGCUAAUACCGGAUAAUAUAUUGAACCGCAUGGUUCAAUAGUGAAAGACGGUUUUGCUGUCACUUAUAGAUGGAUCCGCGUCGCAUUAGCUAGUUGGUAAGGUAACGGCUUACCAAGGCAACGAUGCGUAGCCGACCUGAGAGGGUGAGCGGCCACACUGGAACUGAGACACGGUCCAGACUCCUACGGGAGGCAGCAGUGGGGAAUCUUCCGCAAUGGGCGAAAGCCUGACGGAGCAACGCCGCGUGAGUGAUGAAGGUCUUCGGAUCGUAAAACUCUGUUAUUAGGGAAGAACAAAUGUGUAAGUAACUAUGCACGUCUUGACGGUACCUAAUCAGAAAGCCACGGCUAACUACGUG
rnacentral:rRNA from 1 species